UUGAUCUCAGAACAUUCAGACAGCUAAGGUAGCAAAUUCUGGCAGUGUUUACUUUUGGAAAUUGAAACACAAGACAAUGUGAGUACGAUAUAAAUUAGGCAAAUAUGAUUGUGAAUGUAUUUAGAAUUGUAAAAGAAAUAUAUCAUGAGGUUGUGGAACAGAUAUACUAAUUGAUUUUCUUCCUUUUUUAGGUAGUAAGACAGUGCUGAAUUAUGGUCAUUCUAGCCACAUGAGGAAUGUUCUGGGGAAAAGAUAAUUAUCAUUUAUGAAGAACAAGAUAAAGGAAUUGGAAAGGAACUCAGACCAUAGAGCCUAACCUGCACCUGCCUAUCAGUUCUCCCUACCACAUCCCCAACGAGCGUUCAUCUGACUUUCAUUCAUUCCAUCACUUCUAAGAAGAGGAAACUGAGUCAGACUAGAACCCAGGUUUCCUAAAUUCCAGCCUGGCAAUCUUUCCACCCUAUCAUGAUGGAAGGGCCACCAAUUUAUUAUUUUUUUUUCAGGCUGCAAGUAGAAUCUUCAUAGAGCUUUGUGUUGCAGGAAUGAAUAAUGAAGCAUUCUGAUAGAAGACAGGAAACUUCUGAUAGAGAAGAGAAACUUCAUUUUGGAUCUGCUUUUCACCAAUAAGAAGGAGCUGGCUCCUGGGCAACUUUGGGGACAAAUGGCCAUAUCAUCUUAGCAUUUGUAUUAAAGAAGUGGAAAACUAGACCUAUUGUGAUAUACACAUUUGGAAGGGCUGGAUUGAGAUCACCAAUAAGAAGCAUAUACCAGGUGGAUGCUGGAAUCUUCCUUCCUUCUCCCUUCAUGGAUUGA
rnacentral:lncRNA from 1 species